rnacentral:rRNA from 1 species
UACGGAGGGAGCUAGCGUUGUUCGGAAUUACUGGGCGUAAAGCGCACGUAGGCGGCUUUGUAAGUUAGAGGUGAAAGCCGGGGCUCAACUCCGGAACUGCCUUUAAGACUGCAUCGCUUGAAUCCAGGAGAGGUGAGUGGAAUUCCGAGUGUAGAGGUGAAAUUCGUAGAUAUUCGGAAGAACACCAGUGGCGAAGGCGGCUCACUGGACUGGUAUUGACGCUGAGGUGCGAAAGCGUGGGGAGCAAACAGG